rnacentral:rRNA from 1 species
AAUGCAUCUAGAUUCCUACGGGAGGCAGCAGUGGGGAAUUUUGGACAAUGGGCGCAAGCCUGAUCCAGCCAUUCCGCGUGAGUGAAGAAGGCCUUCGGGUUGUAAAGCUCUUUCGCAAGGGAAGAAAACUUAUCCUCUAACAUAGGAUGAGGUGCAC